UACAGAACAUUCUUUUUUUUUCUUCUUAGAUUCAAAAACAGUGGAGGACUGUGGAGCAUGCUGGAAGCUACUGUUCUCUGUUUGUCCGGCAGUUUCUGUUCUCUCAGCUCUCUUCUCCUCAGUUUUUGUUUACCUGCUUUGCCAAAAGCCAGGAAACACAGAGAAAAAGACAUGUGACUCUUUAAGUCAAUCAGAAGAAACACGGGAGGAAAACGUGUGUUACGCAGCCCUGGAAAUCCAUCAGCCAUCACAGAGGACAAAGAGGAAAAGGACGAUUCAGAGUUCAGAUUUCAGCACAUACUCUGCAAUCAAGACAUUCCAGGUGGAGGAGAUUCAGAUUUAACUUAGAGGUUAAAAUAUAAAAGUAGGAAACCAUAUUGUAUUAUUUUCUUUGUAUGUUCUUCCUCUAAAACCAUAGACAAACAAAAAACGAGAAACCUGUAUUAUCAAAAAUACAUUGUUUUUAGUCAUCUUUUGAUUCGAUGGCAUUUAAAUCUCUCUUCAUCAGAAUGCUGCCCUUUUCAGAAUGA